ensembl:lncRNA ANXA2R-OT1 ANXA2R overlapping transcript 1
GGCGACCCGGAUGGCUUUUGUUACCAGGGCCAGCCCAAUCCGCCCGAUUCUCGGUCCCUAUACUGCCUCCUUUUCCCAUGCGCAUCGCAAGGGAUCGGUUGAUGGGGCCCUCAGUAUGACUUCGCUAGGAAAAAUAAAGGUCUUCUUAGGCGGGAGGGGACUGAUUUGAGGACGGAGGGUGGGAGUAGUGCCAGCAGCACUUUGUCGUAGUGGCACUGGGUGGGCAGUUAUCAGUUGCAGUCCGCUCGUUUCUCAGUGCCCACGGUUUCUCACUGACAGUGCAGCUCGUUUCUCAGAGCCGGCGGAUGUUCAUGGGCAGCACCAUCGAGCCAGAAGCAGUAUUUGUCCUGGAGGAAAUCAGUGGUGCUUCAGGAUAUUGUGAAUUUGGUCUUCUGAAAGCAGAAUUCUGAUUUAACAGUAUAAUGGAAUUCGUGAACGUCAUGAUGCUAAUUUGAACCAACAAGCACCCUUGUGAGAGGAAUCUGCUUUUCCUCAAGUCUGAAGAACACCAGGAGAAUCUUUCUGUAUGGAGUUACCAGGAAUCCUCUGCUAAGGAAAGUGAAAGGGAAGAUGCAAUUUCUCCUGGGAAGGGGGGAUGCUGAUGUAGAGGGUGACAAGUAAUAUGCCAUGAAGGAUUCAGUCACCUGGUUAGAUUUAGAGUUAGAGUUAUGGUUAAGGAAGAAGGAAGGAAAAAAGGCAGAAGAGGAAGAAAGGAAGCAAGAAAAGAUAAAAUUUAUUCUAAGAUAAAAUUUGUGAAUUUUGCUAAAC